rnacentral:rRNA from 1 species
AACGAACGCUGGCGGCAGGCUUAACACAUGCAAGUCGAGCGCCCCGCAAGGGGAGCGGCAGACGGGUGAGUAACGCGUGGGAAUCUACCCAUCUCUACGGAAUAACGCAUGGAAACGUGUGCUAAUACCGUAUACGUCCUUCGGGAGAAAGAUUUAUCGGAGAUGGAUGAGCCCGCGUUGGAUUAGCUAGUUGGUGGGGUAAAGGCCUACCAAGGCGACGAUCCAUAGCUGGUCUGAGAGGAUGAGCAGCCACACUGGGACUGAGACACGGCCCAGACUCCUACGGGAGGCAGCAGUGGGGAAUAUUGGACAAUGGGCGCAAGCCUGAUCCAGCCAUGCCGCGUGAGUGGUGAAGGCCCUAGGGUUGUAAAGCUCUUUCACCGGUGAAGAUAAUGACGGUAACCGGAGAAGAAGCCCCGGCUAACUUCGUGCCAGCAGCCGCGGUAAUAC